rnacentral:lncRNA from 1 species
UCAAGUUACAUACAUGCUAACAGGUGUCUGAAGAAAAACAACUUGAUUUUCUUGUCAGACUGGUUUAUCAUAGCUUCUUAUAUAAAUUUAGUGAUUUUUUUUAAAAUUAGUUGUUUUAGUACAUUUUAUAAGCUUACCUUACUGCUACUGUUUCAAAAAACGAAUUCUUCACAAUGAUUGCAUCUGUGAUUUUUAUUUUAUUGAGCAUAAACUGUUUAUUUAUUCCUUCAACUGAUGGAAAACUUUCGGCAUCACAAAUCCAAAAUCUCAUCCAAGCUGGAUUGGUAGUUGGUUCCGCUGUAGAAAAAUUAAUUGGAAAAAUAUCCACUUGUGGUAAAAUGUGUUGGCAUAACGAUUGGGCUCACCGAGAUAAUGUAGCCAAUCAACUUAAUAUGUAUGACUGGCGCUGUUCAUAUAGCUACACAUGGGGAGGUAGAUGUUAUUGUGUUGGUCCUGCACACUGUGGAUGUGGAGAAAAUUGCUACAAUGGGGAUUGGAAGAAACGAGAUAAUGAAGCAAAGUCAGCUGGAGUAUAUGAAACACAGCGCUGCUCGUUCGAUAACAUGGAUGGCGGGAGAUGUUAUUGUUGGGGAAAACCCUGUUUAUGAAUUAUCAUAGCAAAUUUGUAAUUUAAUAUAUGUAUCACACAUUUAACCAUA